AUUUCCUGAAAAUUUCAUGAAAAUCUGUCCGUAACUUUUUGAGUUAUCUUGCUAACAAUCAAACAAACACACACACAAACACACAAAGCAAAGUGAUCACAAUACCUCCUGGUGGAGGUGAUGACAAAAGAUGCCACAGAAGCACAUUAAACAUUUAUAAAAACUAGCCAAAGUGAACUAAAUUUUCCAGAAUACAGAAUCUGACUAACCAUUAGGUCUACAGGUUUGUUGACUUGCAUUCAUAAAUGCAUAAAAAGCUCACAUUUUAUUGAGUGUAAUGGUCCAUUUCAUUUAGUUGCCUGCCAUGGCAUCAUAUAUUUAGUGACAAAAAGAAAAUACGUUACGUGAAAAUAAGUUAAUACAUUAUGUCAUCUGUGAACAUAAUUUCUGCUAAAAUUGUAUCAGAUAAAUGUACAUAGACAAUAGUGGUGAAAACAAUAACUACUACUUUAUAAUGUCAUCUCCUAUUUUGUGUUUUUUGACUGUUUUGAUUGCGAUAAUUACAUACUAAGAUAAAGUAAGGUUUAUGGUUACAACAGAAGAACAGCAAGGCCAAUAUGCAUGAAUGAGACAUCAUUUGAAAGGGAACUCAUUCCAUAACAUGUACCAACAUAUGACAUACAAAAAAAACAUCAAUCAAAUCAAUUGCAGGAAUGAAAAUCAGUUCAGAAUGCCCAAAGAUAUAUAUAUAUAUAUAUAUAUAUAUAUAUAUAUAUAUUUAUAUAUAUAUAUGACAUGAAGCACUCAGGUGAAGUGAGGAAAUUGGGUUUUGGAAAAAUUAGAGAAAAUCUGGAGGAAAAAAAAGUCAUGCUGUCAGACUAAAACAUUGUUAUUAUUAGACUUAUUGCUAUGUUCCAUAUACUUUCUCCUGGUAUAGUUUUUAGUUCUGUAAAAAGCCAAUAUUGUACAGUAUUGUGCAUGAAUCUGCCAAAAUUAAAAUUGACAGUGAUACAAGAGGCAUGAAAAUCUUAAUUUGGUUUUUCUUUUCAUUUUGCAUAUUUCUUGUUGCUCACAGUGUGAACAUAAUGUUUGGUUUGAUUUCACUAUACAUCAGAAUUAUAGUUAGAAAAACUCGAGGAAGUUUUAAAACAUACAUAAUGAAGACAAAUGUAUGAAUAAUUAAGCAGUUUUAUUUGCAUGAUAAAAAAAAAAAAAUACAGUGAAUUUACAAGCUAUUUCAACAGUAUUAUAGUCAUGAUACCCUGUGCACACACACAAACACACAACUGCAUAACUUCACAUGAAUAUAUCUUCAGCAUUCCAUGUUAUUACUUUAUUUUUUUCGGGUGGAAAUUGUGAUUUAACUUUAUUUUGCUCAUCCCUCUGCUACUCCGAUGUGUUCUGAGUUCGGCCUGUAAUUCUGGUGUGCUUUUAUUCAUUGUUUUAUAAAUAUAUUGUCCGUAUGUUUACUAUUAUCUUAGCUAGAACUGGAAUGCUUGACAUACUUGUGCAUGAGUUUCUAUAUGGAGAACAGCCCUGGACUUUGUCUCCUAAUCGCAUUUUAGCAUCUCAUCUCCGCUCCCCUCUGAAUCCACUUUGAGGGUAGGUAUUAAAAGGAUAACACUGCAUUAGACAAACACUGGAGGAUCAAAUUUGUGCCACAGAAGUCAACAAAUAUCUGAUUUUCAGUGUGUAUAUUUGCUCUCGAGCAAAGCGAUCAAUAAUGGUAAAAUGCUUUUGGGAAAUGGAGUCUUACUAUAGGCUUUGAGUCUGUUAAAUAGAUAAAUACUUAGACAAUACUAUUUCUUAUUCUCUGAUUUUCUUUUAUCUAGUAUUUAAGCAAUUAAAGAGACUAGUAUUUAGUUUCUACAAAAGCAUGAUUCUGGUACCUGGGCGUUUGUUUACAUUGUGUGUAUGCACAUCAGUCAGUUGUGUUUAUACGUAUGCGAAUAAGUACUGUGAAUGAACGCAAAUUGGCGUUUGCAUUUUUUUGUAGGUGUGUCCAUGCCUGCCUUUCCAGCAUUUUGCCUGGCCUUUUGUUACUGUUUGUUUGUACGAUGCAUAUCUCCUAACUGCUCCCCUGGUUGCAUCAAACAUUUAUGACUCGACACAAGUGGCUCCAGGAGUGGCAGAAAGACAAGAGAUAAAACGGUCAAACUAGACGAGAGGCGAGGUUUGGGUUUUGUAGGGCUGCGGGAUUUUGACAUCAACAUUUUUUCCUUCAGAAUGUUCUAAUAUUUGAGAGAUUUGUUUUGUGUGUGUGUGUGUGUGUGUGUGUGUGUGUUUUAGUGGUGCAAGGUCCACUUUUUCAAAGUUAGAAAAAAGGAAGAUUUUUUUUCUAGUGUCUUUUCACCUUUAAAGAGUGUGAUUGAAAAGAGCUGAAAGAUAAAAAUUAGUUUUCAUCAUUGUACCAUCAUUCUAAAUGUUUGCCCUUAAAUUCUUAUGCAGCCCUACUUGUCUGAUCACCUGUCGCUACUGUUUUGGUCGUACUGGAAAGGAUUUAAGGCAAAACUCACUGUGACUGGUGUUUUUUGUUUUUUUUUUAUUAUUAUUAUUAUUACUAUACUUUAUGGUUUCGAAAUAGUGUUUUAUGUCCGCAAUAAGAAUAUCCCUUCUGAUAAGCAGCAGUAAAUGUGGACACAGGUCUUUCAGGCCAGGGAAAUAUGUGUGUGUUUGUCUUUUGUUUGCGAGCUAGUAAUAAUCUCGUUGAUAAGAAGGCAGGAUUUAGUUCUCAAAAAAUCAACAGAAGUCUUAAGUUAGAGCUGUAACAGAUAUGAAAUAUAAAGAAGUAGUUGUGAAGGUUUUCCUCAUAUCGUAGACCACUUUAUCACAGGGGAACUUUAGGUAUUUUCAGGGGUUAUGUUGUCUUUUCCUAAAUUAUCAGUAUAUUGACAUGAAGGUGUUGACCUCAAAUGACUGUUCUGCUUGUAUUUCCAGACAUAGAUCCUACCAGUUUAUUUUCUUGAACAAAUAGCAUCAAUACAGACAUGCGGUCUACAGAAUCAUAAUCUGAUUUUUUUUAGCCAUAGUGGAUCAGUCUGUGAUGAUAAGCAUUGAGUCACUUACAUUUUCUGUACAAUGAGCUUUGGGAGACUGCAGAAAUGUUCCCACUAUAUGGAAAAAAUCAGAUUUUAUGGAAGAUUAGAAAUAAAAAUUGUUGAAAUGUUGCAGGAUUGUAGCCAUUGUGAAGUGCAAUGUCCUCCAGUGGACCCCCCAAAAAAACAAGUACUUGAACAGAGCAUGACAGAGCAUAAAGUAAAUAAAAGUCACAGAUUUACAGGAUGUCUAAAUGAAGUUGGUCUAACAAAGUGCAGAUGGGAAUGGCUUCAGUGAUUUCACACUUUGUCCACAAUGUGCGUGAAAGUAAAUGGAACAGUUUUUCUGGCUUGAAGAUGUUCUCUGUUUUCAUUAUCUCCAUUAUUGCUCUUUAUUACAGUGUCUCCUGUAAUACCUGCGUAUACCUUUAAACAGUACUUAUAGUACAUAACCAAUUAACAUACCUGUGUCAAAUGUUGAUAUACAUAUACACCAUGUGGUCAGUAUUGUAAAGGACAUAGAGGAGGAUGUGUGUUUUUGUUUCCUGCAGAAGGAAAAGCAAAACGGACUUUGCAUGAAAAACCCUUUUACCUUUUUAUUAUUGGGAUUUGUAUGCAUUUACCAUAUUAGGGUGAUUUAUGUUUCCUGUGUCAGCAGUGCAUAGCGUGAACCAAGCUCCUGUUGUGUGUUUUAAAAUACUGAAAUGUAUCUUAAAAAUUGCUUUUUACAAUGCUUUCCAUGUGCCAAAUUUUUGUUUUUUCCAGGAGAAACAGGCAUACCUAAAAUAAAGAAUUUAAAAGACGUGUUAGGGGA